rnacentral:misc_RNA from 1 species
AACGCACAUUGCGCCCACUAGUAUUCUGGUGGGCAUGCCUGUUCGAGCGUCAUUUCAACCCUUAAGCCUAGCUUAGUGUUGGGAAUCUACCCGGCCCCUCUAGGGGGGCCUCGUAGUUCCUCAAAUCCACCGGCGGAGUGACGGUAUCCUCUGAGCGUAGUAGCUUUGUUUCUCGCUUUUGUAGGUGCCGCGGCCCCUGCCGCUAAACCCCCAACUUUUUUUAUUUGGUUGACCUCGGAUCAGGUAGGAAUACCCGCUGAACUUAA